UACGAAGGGGGCUAGCGUUGCUCGGAAUCACUGGGCGUAAAGCGCACGUAGGCGGCUUUUUAAGUCAGAGGUGAAAUCCUGGAGCUCAACUCCAGAACUGCCUUUGAUACUGGAGAGCUUGAGUCCGGGAGAGGUGAGUGGAACUGCGAGUGUAGAGGUGAAAUUCGUAGAUAUUGGGAAGAACACCGGUGGCGAAGGCGGCUCACUGGCCCGUAACUGACGCUGAGGAGCGAAAGCGUGGGGAGCGAACAGG
rnacentral:rRNA from 1 species